UAGCACAUCCGACCCGGAGCCCAGCACUCC
rnacentral:piRNA from 1 species